GAUGAACGCUGGCGGCGUGCCUAAUACAUGCAAGUCGAGCGAACGGACGAGAAGCUUGCUUCUCUGAUGUUAGCGGCGGACGGGUGAGUAACACGUGGAUAACCUCCCUAUAAGACUGGGAUAACUUCGGGAAACCGGCGCUAAUCCCGGAUAAUAUUUUGAACCGCAUGGUUCAAAAGUGAAAGACGGUCUUGCUGUCACUUAUAGAUGGAUCCGCGCUGCAUUAGCUAGUUGGUAAGGUAACGGCUUACCAAGGCAACGAUGCAUAGCCGACCUGAGAGGGUGAUCGGCCGCACUGGAACUGAGACACGGUCCAGAGGCCUACGGGAGGCAGCAGUAGGGAAUCGUCCGCAAUGGGCGAAAGCCUGACGGAGCAACGCCGCGUGAGUGAUGAAGGUCUUCGGAUCGUAAAACUCUGUUAUUAGGGAAGAACAUAUGUGUAAGUAACUGUGCACAUCUUGACGGUACCUAAUCAGAAAGCCACGGCUAACUACGUG
rnacentral:rRNA from 1 species